UUAAUCUCUCGUCUCCAUACUGCGGUGAAUACUUUCCCGGGCCUUGUACACACCGCCCGUCACACCAUGGAAGUUGGCCACGCCCGAAGCCGUUACUCCAACCCUUGUGGAGGAGGACGUCGAAGGUGGGGCUGAUGACUGGGGUGAAGUCGUAACAAGGUAUCCGUACCGGAAGGUGCGGAUGGAUCACCUCCUAA
rnacentral:rRNA from 1 species